CCUGAAGUGUUUUAGAAAUAAGGCAAAGAAAUAUGAAUAGCUGGAUUAAAAUAUUUUGCCUACGGAAAUCCAGUUGAAACCUUCAAAAGAAAGUAUUAUCUAGACCAGUAUUAUCUAAAAUUGUCAUAAUAAUCACCCAGGGUUUAGGAAGGAGGAAAAAAGAAAGCAAAUCCUCAGGCCUCACUUGCAGAGAUUCUGAUUUAAAAGAUCUGCAUUAGGGGCUGGAAAUCUGUAUUUUUAUAAGCACUCCAGGUGGCUGUUCGGAUUGGGGAAAAAAUGACCAAGGAAAGUUAUUAUCCAUCUUUGAAAGUGACUUUUAUUAAAAGAUAUUUCAAUUGUCAAUAUAAAAAGUUCUGUUAACUAUUUCAUUAAGAACACAUUCAUUUGCCUCACUAUAAUUUCACGUUUAUGUUAAUUUUGUUUUCAGAUGGCAAGGAUUAGCUGCUAAAGAAGUCCUAAAAUUAUUUCUCAGGCUUUAAAGAAAACUGUUUUACUAUUAAACAUAAAGCAAAAUAACUACCAUAUUCUUAAAUUUGAUAAGUAUUUUUAAGCCUCCUAUAUGCCUUCUACUGUGACAGGUACUAAAAAGGGGACACCAAAGGAAUAUUUAGCUUAUUUGUCUUCAUGGAGCAACAACUUAAACUGAAGAGACAAAAUACUUAGCAUUUAUAGCUGACAACUAGAGUACAUUUACAAUCCAGCUACUGUUCACCUUAAUGCUAACAAUUUUAUGGUUGUUUAAAGGUGAGGGCACAGACAGAUGAAUUCGCCUAAGGUCAGCAAGCCAGCAUAUGAUAGAACUAGAAUCAAACAUCCACAACCUGACACUCGUCUGUGUUCUGAAUCACUGCACCGUACCGCCUCAUGGAGAUCUUAGAGAUUCAGCAUCAAGCUAUGAGCACAAAACGUGGCCCAGGAGAAAUAAGAGUCCUUCAAAAUAUAUUAUGCAGAAAGAAGACUCAAAGAUGACUGCAAAGCUGCUAGCUUGGGCAAAUGGAAGAAAGACAGUGUCCAUGACAAAAAUGAGAUAGCUGGAAAAGAGAAGUUAGAUUGAUGAGGGAGGAGAGAGGCAAAAGAAAUGCUGGAUUUGAGGUGAUGGCCGAACAUCCGUAAGAGCUCGGUAAACAGGGGGCCUGGCUGGCUCAGUAGGUAGAGCAUGUAACUCUUGAUCUCGGGGUUGUGAGUUCGAGCCCGAUGUUGGGUGCAGAGAUCACUCAAAAAAAUAAAAUAAAAUCUUUAAAAAAAAGAGUUAUGUAAACAACUGAAAAUUAUUAUUAAAUAAAUUUAUUUUCCUUUCAAGACUAAAAGUCAGUGAUUAAAGCUAGAGAUGUGAAUUCACCACACAGUGCAACUGACAUGACAUCCUUUAUUGUACUUUUUUUCAUUUAAUACUUAUUAUAAAAUGUUUAAUUGUCUGCCUUCCCUGAAACUAUUAUCUUUGGAGGGUAGUGACAAUGUCUUUCUUUCAUUUACUCAUUCAACAAAUAUUUACUGAGCACCUACUCUGGCCAGCCUGUAGCAAUGUGAUGGAGAACAACAUUCCUGCUGCCACAGAACACAAGACAACAGGGUAAUGACUCUCAGCCAUUCCUGAGUAUUAGAAUCAUUUGUGAAGGAGAUGUUAUAAAAAUAGGUACUCCAGCCUGAUGCAUUAACCUUGGACCCAAUUAGUACUUGCCCUGGUGGGCCCCAGGUAGGUUUAGUUUUUUUAAGGGUUUCACAGGCAAUUCUGAGAAUCAGGGUUGAGAAUCACUUUUAAAGCAGGUGUCUUCACCAGUGUACCUUAGCAUCGUUGCUUGGCACAAAGUAGGCACUCAAAAUAUUGAGUUACCAUUUAAUAGUCAAGGAGAAUGAGAAUGAGAGAAGUUACCUUGCCCAGAGGUACAUAUAGCCAGCAGCAAAGCUAGACUUCAAAUGAAUUUUCUGAGGCAACCAAUCCCUUCAACAAAUGUGAGUGCCUGACAGGAAAAGGAUCCUAGAUGGUGUAAUGGAGGCUGGGGCAAUGUGUGUCACGGAGGCUUGGCAUCCCAGAAGCCAAGGGUGACAGAAAUCUGAAGAAGCCAAACUUCCAAAAGAGCUGGCUCCCAUUGUCACCACUGCCACAGCUAUUAGCUGUUGUUUUGCUCUCAUUUAUUUUUGUAUUUUUGGUGUCAUCUAUUUUGACAUUCAGAAAAUAGAGAAUACAAUAAACACUUAUGUAUCCACCAAGAUUUAUUAUAUCUCAAUAUUUGUCAUCAUUUUCAGUGAUUUUUUUAGAAACAAGAUGUAUUAUUCUACCUUAGAGACAAUCAUUGGUGUUUAUUAUUCCUCUGCAUAAUUUUGUAUUUUUACUGUAAAUUAAUAUAUCCCUAAUUACAUGUUUUUGUAUAUGUCAAACUUCAUAUAAAUGGUAUCAGACUAUUUAUAUAAUUUUACUCCUUCUCCUCCCUUGAAAUUUCUCUAUGUAGCCCUAGUUCACUCAUUUUAACUCUGUAUUGGUAUUAUCAAUAAAUCACAAUUUACUUAUCCAUC